rnacentral:rRNA from 1 species
GAAUCUUCGGAUCCUGCCGCUUAGAGAGGAGCCCGCGUCCCAUCAGCUUGUUGGUAAGGUAAUGGCUUACCAAGGCUUACGGGUAGCUGGUCUGAGAGGAUGGUCAGCCACACUGGGACUGAGACACUGCCCAGACUCCUACGGGAGGCUGCAGUCGAGAAUCAUUCGCAAUGCGCGAAAGCGUGACGAUGCGACGCUGCGUGGAGGAUGACGGCCUUAGGGUUGUAAACUCCUGUCAUUUGGGAAAAAUAGUACCUUAGUUAAUAACUAUGGUAUUUGAUGGUACCAAAAGAGGAAGCCACGGCUAACUCUGUGCCAGCAGCCGCGGUAAUACAGAGGUGGCGAGCGUUGUUCGGAUUUACUGGGCGUAAAGGGUGCGUAGGUGGUCAUGUGUGUCGGGUGUGAAAGCCCACGGCUCAACCGUGGAAUUGCAUUCGAAACUGCAUGACUUGAGUGUAGGAGGGGUAAGCGGAAUUCUUGGUGUAGCGGUGAAAUGCGUUGAUAUCAAGAAGAACACCGGCGGCGAAGGCGGGCUUACUGGAAUACUACUGACACUGAGGCACGAAAGCUAGGGGAGCGAAGAGGAUUAGAUACCCUCGUAGUCCUAGCCGUAAACGGUGCACACUUGGUGUGGAGGGAAUUGACCCCCUCCGUGCCGGAGCUAACGCGUUAAGUGUGCCGCCUGGGGAGUACGGCCGCAAGGCUAAAACUCAAAGAAAUUGACGGGGGCCCGCACAAGCGGAGGAGCAUGUGGCUUAAUUCGAUGCAACGCGAAGAACCUUACCAGGGCUUGACAUAUACCUGCACGCCCCGUGAAAGCGGGGAAGCCUUCGAGGGUGGUAUACAGGUGCUGCAUGGCUGUCGUCAGUUCGUGCCGUGAGGUGUUGGGUUAAGUCCCGCAACGAACGCAACCCUUGUGUUUAGUUGCCACUCCCAGUGUUAAGCUGGGAAGCACUCUAGACAGACUGCCCGUGCAAGCGGGAGGAAGGUGGGGAUGACGUCAAGUCAGUAUGGCCCUUACGCCCUGGGCUGCACACGUGCUACAAUGACAGGUACAAUGGGACGCAAAACUGCGAAGUGGAGCAAAUCCUCAAAACCUGCCUCAGUUCGGAUUGGAGUCUGCAACUCGACUCCAUGAAGUUGGAUUCGCUAGUAACGGUGUAUCAGCUACGACACCGUGAGUACGUUCCCGGGCCUUGU